CAGUCGCCGCGGGAAAACGGAGGGGGCUAGCGUUGUUCGGAAUUACUGGGCGUAAAGCGCACGUAGGCGGCUUGGUAAGUUAGAGGUGAAAGCCUGGAGCUCAACUCCAGAAUUGCCUUUAAGACUGCCGAGCUAGCAGGUGAGAGAGGUAAGUGGAAUUCCGAGUGUAGAGGUGAAAUUCGUAGAUAUUCGGAAGAACACCAGUGGCGAAGGCGGCUUACUGGCUCAUACUGGACGCUGAGGUGCGAAAGCGUGGGGAGCAAACAGGAUUAGAUACCCCUGUAGUCCCUGUCUCUUAUAC
rnacentral:rRNA from 1 species